GACGAACGCUGGCGGCGUGCUUAACACAUGCAAGUCGAGCGGUAAGGCCCUUCGGGUACGACGAGCGGCGAACGGGUGAGUAACACGUGGGUGACCUGCCUCUAGCUCUGGGAUAAGCCUGGGAAACUGGGUCUAAUACCGGAUAUGACUCCACGGCGCAUGUUGUGGGGUGGAAAGCCUUGUGCGGCUGAGGAUGGGCCCGCGGCCUAUCAGCUUGUUGGUGGGGUGAUGGCCUACCAAGGCGACGACGGGUAGCCGGCCUGAGAGGGCGACCGGCCACACUGGGACUGAGACACGGCCCAGACUCCUACGGGAGGCAGCAGU
rnacentral:rRNA from 1 species